CCAGACUCCUACGGGAGGCAGCAGUGGGGGAUAUUGCACAAUGGGGGGAACCCUGAUGCAGCGACGCCGCGUGGGUGAAGGAGUAUUUCGGUAUGUAAAGCCCUAUCGGCAGGGAAGAAAUUGGACGGUACCUGACUAAGAAGCCCCGGCUAACUACGUGCCAGCAGCCGCGGUAAUACGUAGGGGGCAAGCGUUAUCCGGAUUCACUGGGUGUAAAAGGAGCGUAGACGGCCAGGCAAGCCUGGAGUGAAAGCCCGGGGCCCAACCCCGGGACUGCUCUGGGAACUGUCCGGCUGGAGUGCGGGAGAGGUAAGCGGAAUUCCUAGUGUAGCGGUGAAAUGCGUAGAUAUUAGGAGGAACACCAGUUGCGAAGGCGGCUCUCUGGACUGUAACUGACACUGAGGCACGAAAGCGUGGGGAGCAAACAGGAUUAGAUACCCGCGUAC
rnacentral:rRNA from 1 species